rnacentral:rRNA from 1 species
GAUGAACGCUGGCGGCGUGCUUAACACAUGCAAGUCGAACGAAGCAUUUAAGACAGAUUACUUCGGUUUGAGGUCUUUUAUGACUGAGUGGCGGACGGGUGAGUAACGCGUGGGUAACCUGCCUCAUACAGGGGGAUAGCAGCUGGAAACGGCUGGUAAUACCGCAUAAGCGCACAGUACCACAUGGUACAGUGUGAAAAACUCCGGUGGUAUGAGAUGGACCCGCGUCUGAUUAGCUUGUUGGCGGGGUAACGGCCCACCAAGGCGACGAUCAGUAGCCGACCUGAGAGGGUGACCGGCCACAUUGGGACUGAGACACGGCCCAGACUCCUACGGGAGGCAGCAGUGGGGAAUAUUGCACAAUGGAGGAAACUCUGAUGCAGCGACGCCGCGUGAGUGAAGAAGUAGUUCGCUAUGUAAAGCUCUAUCAGCAGGGAAGAUAGUGACGGUACCUGACUAAGAAGCGCCGGCUAAAUACGUG